CCGGGCGAGGCCGCGCGAGCGCGGGAUGGGGAGGGAGUUGGGCGAGCCUGAGCGUCGGCUCGCUUCCUGCCGCGCUCUUUCCGCGUGCUUAUUUCAGAAACGCGUGUGCUUCCUUUCGAAUGCACGUAGCUCACGGUGAAGAUAAUAGAGGUAGUCGCUGAUGGAGUUCGUGGCCACGCUUGUGUUUGCCUUUCCACACUCUUGAUCAAGCUGUGGCGGGGAAGGGCCUCUGAAGAUCUUCGGUCUGGUCCUUCGCCGCCAAGAAGCAGUGUCAGCCUGCUAACCUAGGCUAGCCACUUUUCUUAAGGUGGUUUUGGGCUAUGGAGACCUUGACGGAGUGAGUUAGCUGUGUAAAAUGAAGCGUUGUUCUUUAAAUCGGUGGUUUUCUACUUUGGGGUUUCCCUCCACCCCCACCUCUGGGACGUUAUCAGGGGCAAUAUCUAGAGACAUUUUUGGUGGCCACCCCUUGUGUGAGUGGAGUGGUGCUUUUACAAACAGUGGGCAGAGGCCACGGAGGCUCUUCAGGAUCCAGUGAUGCGCGGGACAGUUUCCCACACAAUGAUCAAGGCCCAGUGUCAGUUUUGCCCCUGUUAAACCUUGUGUGAAAUAAGCAUAUUUCAAGAUGGAAUGGAAUAAUACUUGGAGAAUUAAUCACCAAGAAAGUAGGUAUCCAGAAGAUAAACUGAUGUGAGGUUUGAGGUGCAUUCAUAAACUAUAACUGAAAGCAUCUUCUUGGAGGCUUUUUUUUUUUUUUUUAACCCUAAGCGCUCAGUCAUUUUGAAGUAGUCACUAUGUUAAGUCGUUUAAUACCUUUAGAAUUCAAACCGCAAACUUGGCAUGCUUUCAGCAUCUUUAUGGGGAGUAGCAGUUACAGAAGUAGCAUGAUAGACCCAGAACAAAACAGAACUAUUUGGAAUACAGAAUUCCUCAACAGCUCAGUCUCUCUAGAUGAAUCGAGUUUGAAUGGUCAACGAAGGACAGACCAUCUAGGACACGUUCCUCAAAAUGAAGAAGCAGAAGCUGGGGCAGUGACACGACUUUUGUCACCAGUCACACAGCCAGCUGAUGUGUGGAGGCAACACUGUGUCCUGCAUUUCUCCUAAAUGUUGGACCAGGAUUCAUCCUACUGUUAUGGCUCAUCCAGUGAAAAUGUGUAACAUCAAUUCCGAAAGAAGUUUUUUGCCACUAGUGUGAAAUAAAGGAGAAACUUAUUGACAGCCCUA